AGAACAUCUGAAGCCGCACUACUUUCACUGGAAAGACUGCCCAUUCUUCCCGAGGCUGGCAAAAUACAGGAACUCAGGGCCUGUCUUAGCCAUGGUCUGGGAGGGGCUGAAUGCGGUGAAGACAGGCCGAGUGAUGCUGGGGGAGACCAAUCCAGUGGAUUCUAAGCCACACACCAUUUGCAGGGACUUCUCUAGUCAGGUGGGCUGAUGCAUCAUUCAUGGCAAUGGCUCAGUAGUAAGUGCUGAAAAAGAAAUCACCUAUGGUUUAAGCCCAAAGAACCAGUUGACUACAGAUCUUGUGCUUAUGACUGGGUCUAU
rnacentral:lncRNA from 1 species